rnacentral:rRNA from 1 species
UACGUAGGGUGCAAGCGUUGUCCGGAAUUAUUGGGCGUAAAGAGCUCGUAGGCGGUUUGUCGCGUCUGCUGUGAAAACCCGAGGCUCAACCUCGGGCCUGCAGUGGGUACGGGCAGACUAGAGUGCGGUAGGGGAGAUUGGAAUUCCUGGUGUAGCGGUGAAAUGCGCAGAUAUCAGGAGGAACACCAAUGGCGAAGGCAGCACUCUGGGACGGUACUGACGCUGAGACGCGAAAGCGUGGGGAGCGAACAGG